rnacentral:rRNA from 1 species
AUACGGAGGAUGCGAGCGUUAUCCGGAUUUAUUGGGUUUAAAGGGAGCGUAGGCGGGAGCUUAAGUCAGCGGUUAAAUGGUGCGGCUCAACCGUGCCCUGCCGUUGAAACUGGGUUUCUUGAGAGUGCAAGAGGCGGAUGGAAUUCAUGGAGUAGCGGGGAAAUGCUUAGAUAUCAUGAAGAACUCCGAUUGCGAAGGCAGUCCGCUGGGGCACGUCUGACGCUGAUGCUCGAAGGUGCGGGAAUCAAACAGGAUUAGAUACCCUGGUAGUCCGCACGGUAAACGAUGAUUACCCGCUGUCGGCGGCAGACAGUCGGCGGCCAAGCGAAAGCGAUAAGUAAUCCACCUGGGGAGUACGCCGGCAACGGUGAAACUCAAAUGAAUUGACGGGG